AACCUUGGUUGCAGACGUAAAAUCCAGAAAAUCGUAAUUGCAUUACACUGAGCAAGUGCUUUAAAAACUGAAUGUCUUUAUUCAUAGCUUUAGUGAAACAAAUGAGUCCCGGCUCUCUUUUUCCAAUCAAAAUGUCCCGUUUUGGAAAUAUGGAGCAGCUCACUCUUCCUCUAGUUUCCCUUAUGUCCCCCUGUGAUUAAGUGUUGAAACAACAAAGAUCACAGGAGUAUGAGAACCGUAGGAAGGAGAGAGGCUGAAUCAUAUGAAACAAGUGUAGGUUCUUUGGAUUUUUCUGCUUGCUAUCCCACUGCAGUUGAAGCUCAGCAGUGCUCAAAGGCCACCUAGAGGACUAACUGGGGAACUGCACAGCUCAAAAUACUGCAGUACCCCCUCCUCUUCAAGCUUUCUCCCCGACUGAGAAGAAAGUCAUACACACUUUGAAUGACAUGAGGAUGUGACGAUUUUGAGCGAACUAUCCCAUUAAGGAUAAAGCAUACAUACGCAGAACACAGACAGGCACAAACUCCAGAUCAAUAAAUCAAUAAUGUUGCCACC